rfam:Felis catus isolate Cinnamon breed Abyssinian chromosome E2, whole genome shotgun sequence.
GCCUGGCUGGCUCAGUCGGAAGAGCAUGUGACUCUUGAUCUUGGGGUCAUGAGCUCCAGUCCUAUGUUGGGCA